GACGAACCGAGCGAACGUUGUUCGGAAUCACUGGGCUUAAAGGGCGCGUAGGCGGGCUGCCAAGUUUGGGGUGAAAUCCCUCGGCUUAACCGAGGAACUGCCUGUCAGACUGGAAGGCUUGAGACCGGGAGAGGUGAGUGGAAUUCCCAGUGUAGCGGUGAAAUGCGUAGAUAUUCGCAAGAACACCAGUGGCGAAGGCGGCUCACUGGCCCGAUACUGACGCUGAGGUGCGAAAGCGUGGGGAGCAAACAGG
rnacentral:rRNA from 1 species